GAGCUCCGGCAACACUCCCCAAACUCCGCCCCUCCCUCCCCUCCGUGUUAUUCGGCUAGGGUUUCUGGCGCCUCCCGUGUUCUUGCCCCCCCUCUCUCUCGUGACCUCUGUGCCCCCGCCUCCGGUCUACCUCGCCGCCACUGCCGCCAGAGGUAGCUCCUCCUCCCUUCCUUCCCCUUCCUCCUCCGCCCGCCCUUCUCUCUCCUGCUUCCUCCCGGCGGCCGGUGAUGGGUGCGGACGAGGAGGAGAACCAGUCCCCCGUGCGGAAGCGCGAGCGCGAGGAGGGGGAGGAGCCCGCGGCCGCCGACGAGAAGAGCCCGCGUGCAGCGGAUGAGUCGGAGGGCACCUCGCUGCUGGGGCUCACCAACUACGCGGACGAGAAGGAGGAGGAGCGCGGGGCCCCGAGGGGGCACGCUAACGGCCGGCCCGAGGAGGAGGAGGCGGAAGAGGAUGAGGAUGAGGAGGAGGACGAGAGGAGGGCUCCGGAGAGGCGGCCCAGGCAGGUCGAGCUGCCCCUACCUCGACACCGUCAAUCGACUAGCUUCGAUCUACCAUGUCCUUAGCGGCAGCAACAGAACAGAAUGUCUGAAGAAGCAUCUUCCAGUAGCAGUGCCAAAGGGACUGAACGAACUUCAAAUCAUCGUUGUGCGAUUUGAAGAGAAGAUUUAUACUGCAGCAACCAGUCAGGUAAUUUAAUCCGUCUUGGCGGCUACUCAAAGCAGAUCACAGUUUAUUUUAUUUUUAGUUAUGGGUGUCAAACAAGGUUUUAUGGGCUUAUAAUAGAGCAGAACUGUCCCCAAAUGUUGUAGAGGAUACUUUUUAAGUCAUGUUUAGUACCAUGUAUAACUAUGAUUCAAAUCUUAAAAGCUGAAGCACCUGCUCGAGCAUGCUAAAUUGCUAAUCAACCAGAACUGUUGGUUGCAAGCCACCAUUAGUAAUUUGGUCCUAGGCGGUGGUCAUUGCGACGACACACGUCAGCCAAGAUGAUGUGCUUUACACUUACAACUCGUGCUGACUGAAUCGGAGCAAGCCUCCUACCAGUUCCACCAUGUAACACUCUGCAGGUUGUCGAAAUAAGAUAGUGCUCUGUAGUGCAUUCUGAUUCAGUUG